UGGGGAAUAUUGGACAAUGGGCGCAAGCCUGAUCCAGCCAUGCCGCGUGAGUGAUGAAGGCCCUAGGGUUGUAAAGCUCUUUCACCGGUGAAGAUAAUGACGGUAACCGGAGAAGAAGCCCCGGCUAACUUCGUGCCAGCAGCCGCGGUAAGACGAAGGGGGCUAGCGUUGUUCGGAAUUACUGGGCGUAAAGCGAGUGUGGCGGUUGCCGUAGUCAGGUGUGAAAAGCCUUGAGCUCAACUCAAGAAAUGCACUUGAUACUGGGUGACUAGAGGACCGGAGAGGAUAGUGGAAUUCCCAGUGUAGUGGUGAAAUACGUAGAGAUUGGGAAGAACACCAGUGGCGAAGGCGGCUAUCUGGACGGUUACUGACGCUAAGACUCGAAAGCGUGGGGAGCAAACAGGAUUAGAUACCCUGGUAGUCCACGCCGUAAACGAUGGGUGCUAGACGUUGGCGAGCUUGCUCGUCAGUGUCGCAGCUAACGCGUUAAGCACCCCGCCUGGGGAGUACGGCCGCAAGGUUGAAACUCAAAUGAAUUGACGGGGUC
rnacentral:rRNA from 1 species